AUUGAACGCUGGCGGCAUGCCUUACACAUGCAAGUCGAACGGCAGCACGGGAGCAAUCCUGGUGGCGAGUGGCGAACGGGUGAGUAAAGUAUCGGAACGUGCCCAGUCGUGGGGGAUAACGUAGCGAAAGUUACGCUAAUACCGCAUACGGUCCAUGGAUGAAAGCGGGGGAUCGCAAGACCUCGCGCGAUUGGAGCGGCCGAUAUCAGAUUAGGUAGUUGGUGGGGUAAAGGCUCACCAAGCCGACGAUCUGUAGCUGGUCUGAGAGGACGACCAGCCACACUGGGACUGAGACACGGCCCAGACUCCUACGGGAGGCAGCAGUGGGGAAUUUUGGACAAUGGGCGCAAGCCUGAUCCAGCCAUGCCGCGUGCAGGAUGAAGGCCUUCGGGUUGUAAACUGCUUUUGUACGGAACGAAAAGGUUUGACUUAAUACGUUGGACUCAUGACGGUACCGUAAGAAUAAGCACCGGCUAACUACGUGCCAGCCGCCGCGGUAA
rnacentral:rRNA from 1 species